CCUCGCCCGGGAACUUGGUGCGCCGCUCGCCAAAGCGCAGCACCCGCUCAUGCAACACGCCGCGGACAACACACACACCGACAGCACAGAUAAAACACCUCGGACGACACAAAACACGAGUCACCUGUUGGCAAUAGUAGGGUUCCAGGGCAGGGGGAAGGUCCCAAACAAGGGCGUAUCAGGAGCGGCUGGCAGGCUGAGGAGUGGUGGAAUAAAAUCUUACGUCCAUUUCACUAAAACAUCAAGCAAACUCCUUUCCUUUCUUUAGGUCGUUAAUGUUGGUGCAAAAAAGGGGUGUGUGUGAGUGUAUGUGUGUGUGAGGGAAGGGGGGGGACACACAAGACUGAGAAGGAUAAAAAAAGAGGUGCCUGACUUCAGUAGUCAAACACCUUCCCUGCCUCACAUCCGUUUGUGGUUUGUAAAGAGAGAGAGAGGAGAGGAAAAAAAAAAUCUCUUCCAAAAAAGCACCGGUCCUGCAGAUGUCUGCGAGAGAACCCACGAACCCUCCUUCUUCUACGGCAGGGCAGUUCCUACCUAGAUGGGCCCAUGAAACCUAUGGUACUGGAGAUGAGUGAUGCCUCUGAGUUAUUCGGCAUACUUCUGGAAAAGCACACCCACUAAGCCAGCUGCGGCAGGUCUGCCCGUGCUGUGGACAGCUGAAUGUUGGAGCCAAUCAUUGAUCCACCAGUGACAACGAAGAGCUCAGUGCUGCAUGGGCUGAAGCCAGCAUGAAGCAGAAAAAAAUGAAGCCAAGCCCUCAUUACGUUCACUUCUGUGGCCUUACAUGAGUUUGCCAUAAUACCUUCUCACCCUGCAUAUCAUUUCUUUAUCAGGCAGUCUCCUGAAACAUAAAUUCUUUGCUUGUCCCCGUGAUAUAAGAUUUUAGUUUAUUUAGAAUGUUUGACUCUAUUUGCAGAGGUGGGAUAAAAAAACAUUUUAUUUGUGCUACGAAGUGAGAGAGUGGAGCAAGCUUCUGCAAGCAGGCUGCUUUGUUGAGUCAAAUUUAUACUCUCAUUUUGAGUGUGGAUCUUAUACCAUUCUUCACUUCACAGGAAAAGAUAUGCUUUACGCUAAUGCAUAGUAAUCUCUGUACAAUCCCAACUCACUUUCUCUGCUUUCAGCCACACCCUAGCGGGAAAUUUCUCUUAGAAAUUAACAUGGGAAUUGGCUCUUAACUGCAUUUGCAAAUAUAUUUAUCAGUUCAGGUUUUUUUUGUACUGGUAUGACAAAGAAAUUAUACUAAUAAUAAUAAUAGAUCUGUGAUAACAGAUAAAACCCAGCCACUGAAAACUCCUACGUGUGGACUGUUUACUUUCCUAGUACAUUUUGAACAUGAAUUAAGUUAAAUGACUGUUAUUUUCAAAACACAUUUUAAAUUGGAAAAGUGAUGAGUGAAAAAAAAUAAGGCAUUGUGUUUAAAAAUCUAGAAGGUGGUGUGUUGUUUUCACCAAAUAUUAACUAUUAAGAGUGAAGUUGGUUAUAUAGAGUCUUGCAGUAUUUUUAUGUUUUUGUGAUCAGUAUAGUAGAGUGGUUGUAUAUAAUAGAUAAUGCCACUAUUUCAGUAUGGGUGUCUUACAGAAGCUAAAUAAAUAAAGAGUGACUUAGCUUCUAUUUACCUUGCAGCAGGUGAACAAAUAAGGUGACAGUGAAAUAAAUUAUUUUUUCCUGCCAGCUAAGCAUGUCGUCAAUCCUUCUUACUAAAGUAAUGAAGCAGGGAAACAAUAUUUUGUUUGCUUUUCACUGUGGUGAAGGAGUUUUACAUCAAAAAGGAAGAUAACACUUCAAAUUUAAGGAUAGCUGUGGCUUGGUAUUACAGUCUGCCUACUAAGUCAUGUACUGCUUUCUGUUUUAAAACAAUCUGAAAUGGCUCUAGACUAUCCUGUCAUGAAUAUUGGCUCCUAGAAAUUGCUUGCAUAACUUGUAAAGAACAC